GACGAACGCUGGCGGCGUGCCUAAUACAUGCAAGUAGGACGCAGUUGCUAACGGGUGAGUACCGCUUAGGUAACUUCCUAUUAGAGGGGGAUAACUAUUGGAAACGAUAGCUAAUACCGCAUACUCGUAGCUGGACCUGCGUUGUAUUAGCUAGUAGGUAGGGUAAUGGCCUACCUAGGCGACGAUACAUAGCCGAACUGAUAGGGUGAGCGGACACACUGGGACUGAGACAAGGCCCAGACUCCUACGGGAGGCAGCAGUAGGGAAUCUUCGGCAAGGGGGGGAACCCUGACCGAGCAACGCCGCGGGAGGGAAGAAGGUUUUCGGAUCGGAAAGCUCUGUUGUUAAGGAAGCGGUACUUAACCAGAAAGGGACGGCUAACUACGUGCCAGCAGCCGCGGUAAUUC
rnacentral:rRNA from 1 species